UACGUAGGGGGCUAGCGUUGUCCGGAUUUAUUGGGCGUAAAGAGCUCGUAGGCGGUCUGUCGCGUCGGCUGUGAAAACCCGGAGCUCAACUCCGGGCCUGCAGUCGAUACGGGCAAACUGGAGUGUUGCAGGGGAGACUGGAAUUCCUGGUGUAGCGGUGAAAUGCGCAGAUAUCAGGAGGAACACCGGUGGCGAAGGCGGGUCUCUGGGCCGUAACUGACGCUGAGGAGCGAAAGCGUGGGGAGCGAACAGG
rnacentral:rRNA from 1 species